rnacentral:lncRNA from 1 species
AGAGAGAGAGAGGGGGGAAAGAGAGAGAUUGGGAAAAAAUAGUGAUAAGCUCUUUAAUAAAUUUUUCCGUCGUAAAUUUCGUUAUCAGUUUCGUUAAUAGUAACAGUAAAUUUACUUACAUCAGAAUUGUCUUAAAAUCAGUUAAAUAUUUUCCGUGUAAAUUUAUGCACGUACAGUGGAAGACAUAUCUGAUAAGUGGCCAACUGAUUUGUUUACACUGAUAACACACAGAUACACACACACACACACAUAUAUAUAUAUACAUAUCAAAGAAAGCAGAGACGAAAGUUUUUGAUUUCGAUACAACUGCUCAGUGACUAGCUUUACUCGUACCUAAAUUUCAGUGGCAUAAGAGAUGUUGAGAAUAAAAUGUAUCCUCGGUAUAAGCUUGAUUGCAGUAAGUCUUCACUUGUAUAUCCCAACGAUAUCUGCAAAGGAUGAUUCUUUUGAUUCCUAUGUUUUCUCACAACAAUGGCUACCAGGUUUUUGUAUUCAUGCAGCGGAAGAGGGACUAGAUUGUAAAAUUCCAGACAUGGUGAAAAACUGGGUUAUCCAUGGAAUUUGGUAA